CAAAUCUCGGGUUGUUAGGUGUUAGAAUCCCUAGUUACCCGAAAAAUUUGAUUGGAUCCGAUACUUAGAAAUAACCAAUCAGAUACUUUGUAACAAAUGCAACACAAUCAGUGCGUUCAGUAAGUAUAACGUUUCAAGAUGGCGGAGCGAAUUGCAUGGUUAUUGUUUCUACUCGAUGGAUUCGCAGAUAAUUCGGAAAUAGAUCAGAUUGGGAUCAAUAACUGUAUUGCAUACGAUCAUUUACAUGUAUUACCAGGUGUGUGUUGCCAGUAAUGGUUGAAGAUAUGCCAAACAAAUUGUGCCUCUCUAUACAGACAGAUUUCAGGUCUCAAUUUCGACUUCAAAGGUCAACAUAUCACUGAUAUCAGGAAUUCUGUACAACUGUGGAACCAUGUAUGGUACGUGACCGCACAAUGUUGGUUGGCAAAAGGAUAUUGGAAUAAGCAAAGGGACUCAACAUUACACAGUCAUUUCAACAUGUAGAGUCUUGUCAGCAAUGAUGGAGCAGUACAUCAGAUUUCCAGAAUCUCGUCAUGAGCUGAAGAUCAUUGCCUAUGGAUUUCAUGAAUGAUGUAGAAUGAUUGGACUGUUGAUGGAACCCACAGUGCAUGUCCUGCUUCAACAUCUGAGCAUAGGUCCUUGUUUAUCAGCAGUUUAGUUCUUCAAGCAGUCUGUGACAGUAACUUGAAAUGUUUGGACAUAUGACCUGGAUGGCCAAGUUCUGUGCAUGAUGCCCAUUUAAAUAGGAACGGCCCAGUGGCGCAUUAAAUGGACAUUUUUCGAAUGUUCUCGAGGAUUCAGCUUACCGCCUGACAAGAAAUCUUGCUUUUUGUUCCGUAUCGAGGCCAUAGACAUUUGUAUCAUUUGCAAAAGAUACUGCGAUAUUUGUGCCUUUGUUCAUGCUUUAUAGUUGAUUAACAAUUGGAAGCCAUAACCUGUUUUAUAGGAUGGUGUUAGUGGGACAAUGAAUUUUGUAAAGAUUUAAAGACUGGAAAAGAUAAUUAAAAGUCAAAAGAGUUCUGCUAUUGUUAAGCAUGCUUUAUUGAUUUGUAAUGUUAGAAAGAUAGCAUUAUUAACAGAAUAAAAUGUCCAUAAUUUGAA